rnacentral:rRNA from 1 species
GAUGAACGCUAGCUACAGGCUUAACACAUGCAAGUCGAGGGGCAGCAUGAGGUCAGCUUGCUGACUUUGAUGGCGACCGGCGCACGGGUGAGUAACGCGUAUCCAACCUGCCCAUAACUAAGGGAUAAUCCGUAGAAAUGCGGUCUAAUACCUUAUGUUGUCCGAGGAAGACAUCUGAUUCGGACGAAAGAUUUAUCGGUUAUGGAUGGGGAUGCGUCUGAUUAGCUUGUUGGCGGGGUAACGGCCCACCAAGGCGACGAUCAGUAGGGGUUCUGAGAGGAAGGUCCCCCACAUUGGAACUGAGACACGGUCCAAACUCCUACGGGAGGCAGCAGUGAGGAAUAUUGGUCAAUGGACGAGAGUCUGAACCAGCCAAGUAGCGUGCAGGAUGACGGCCCUAUGGGUUGUAAACUGCUUUUAUACGGGGAUAAAAGGUGUCACGUGUGACAUUUUGCAGGUACCGUAUGAAUAAGGACCGGCUAAUUCCGUGCCAGC